rnacentral:rRNA from 1 species
AGUCGAGCGGAGCUUAUCCUUCGGGAUAAGCUUAGCGGCGGACGGGUGAGUAACACGUAGGCAACCUACCCUCUAGACUGGGAUAACUACCGGAAACGGUAGCUAAUACCGGAUAAUUCCUUCACCCUCCUGGGCGAGGGAUGAAAGGCGGAGCAAUCUGCUACUAGAGGAUGGGCCUGCGGCGCAUUAGCUAGUUGGUGGGGUAACGGCCUACCAAGGCGACGAUGCGUAGCCGACCUGAGAGGGUGAACGGCCACACUGGGACUGAGACACGGCCCAGACUCCUACGGGAGGCAGCAGU